UUAAUACUCCCUCCGCCCAAAAAAGUUUGUUCCUCAAAUGGAUGUAUCUAGCAUCAAGUUAGUGCUAGAUACAUCUAUUUGAGAAACAAGUUUGGGACAAGUUUUUUUUGGACGGAGGAAGCUCGGG
rnacentral:pre_miRNA from 1 species